GACGAACGCUGGCGGCGUGCCUAAUACAUGCAAGUCGAACGCUUCUUUCCUCCCGAGUGCUUGCACUCAAUUGGAAAGAGGAGUGGCGGACGGGUGAGUAACACGUGGGUAACCUACCCAUCAGAGGGGGAUAACACUUGGAAACAGGUGCUAAUACCGCAUAACAGUUUAUGCCGCAUGGCAUAAGAGUGAAAGGCGCUUUCGGGUGUCGCUGACGGAUGGACCCGCGGUGCAUUAGCUAGUUGGUGAGGUAACGGCUCACCAAGGCCACGAUGCAUAGCCGACCUGAGAGGGUGAUCGGCCACACUGGGACUGAGACACGGCCCAGACUCCUACGGGAGGCAGCAGUAGGGAAUCUUCGGCAAUGGACGAAAGUCUGACCGAGCAACGCCGCGUGAGUGAAGAAGGUUUUCGGAUCGUAAAACUCUGUUGUUAGAGAAGAACAAGGACGUUAGU
rnacentral:rRNA from 1 species